UCUACCAUGCAGUCGACAGAAAGGCCCUGCUUUUGUGGGGUGCUCGAGUAGCGAACGGGUGAGUAACACGUGAGUAACCUGCCCUUGACUUUGGGAUAACUUCAGGAAACUGGGGCUAAUACCGGAUAGGAGCUCCUGCUGCAUGGUGGGGGUUGGAAAGUUUCGGCGGUUGGGGAUGGACUCGCGGCUUAUCAGCUUGUUGGUGGGGUAGUGGCUUACCAAGGCUUUGACGGGUAGCCGGCCUGAGAGGGUGACCGGCCACAUUGGGACUGAGAUACGGCCCAGACUCCUACGGGAGGCAGCAGUGGGGAAUAUUGCACAAUGGGCGGAAGCCUGAUGCAGCAACGCCGCGUGCGGGAUGACGGCCUUCGGGUUGUAAACCGCUUUCGCCUGUGACGAAGCGUGAGUGACGGUAAUGGGUAAAGAAGCACCGGCUAACUACGUGCCAGCAGCCGCGGUGAUACGUAGGGUGCGAGCGUUGUCCGGAUUUAUUGGGCGUAAAGGGCUCGUAGGUGGUUGAUCGCGUCGGAAGUGUAAUCUUGGGGCUUAACCCUGAGCGUGCUUUCGAUACGGGUCGACUUGAGGAAGGUAGGGGAGAAUGGAAUUCCUGGUGGAGCGGUGGAAUGCGCAGAUAUCAGGAGGAACACCAGUGGCGAAGGCGGUUCUCUGGGCCUUUCCUGACGCUGAGGAGCGAAAGCGUGGGGAGCGAACAGGCUUAGAUACCCUGGUAGUCCACGCUG
rnacentral:rRNA from 1 species